GAUGAACGCUGGCGGCGUGCCUAACACAUGCAAGUCGAGCGAAGCGGGGACCGGUGAGUAGCACGUGGCGAACCUCCUUUAAGACUGGGAUAACUUAGGGAAACCGGAGCGAACCCGGACACUUAUAGAGGGAUCCGGGCUGCAUUAGCUAGUUGGUACGGUAACGGCUUACAAGGGCAACGAUGCAUACCCGACCUGAGAGGGGGAUCAGUCAUACGGGAACUGAGACACGGGCCAGACUCCUACGGGAGGCAGCAGUGGGGAAUCUGCCGCAAUGGGCGAAAGCCUGAAGGAGCAACGCCGCGUGGGUGAUGAAGGUAUUAGGAUCGUAAAGCUCUGUUAUUAGGGAAGCGGUACCUAAUGAAAAAGCCCCGGCUAACUACGUGCCAGCAGCCGCGGUAAUAC
rnacentral:rRNA from 1 species